rnacentral:lncRNA from 1 species
CUUUCAGAAACAUUCCAGCAGCUUUGGGUGUUCCAUGGCAGACCACAGAUGCCUUUUUCAGGUGAAUGCAAAAAAUAAUGUAGUAUAUAUUGUAAUGAAGUAUACCACUCUUCACAUUUUAUAAAAUGUAGCCUGGGUAUGUGAUAAUGUGCACAUCAAUAAUCUCCUGAACUGCAUGGACUGGUACUCUCCCAUCUGUUUUAGAAUGUCACAUAUAAACUUAAACAUAGCACCCCAUUUUAAUGAUGAUGAUGCUAACCUAAUUUAUACAUGUUUUUAUAUCUGUAUACAUAUACAUAUGUACAGUCAAAAUACAAGAAAAUAUUCUCAGGAGUGAACAACUUGAAAAAAAAAGACAUGGCAUUACUAAGCAGCAUUUCUUGAAAAGGAAAUAACAACGACAAAAACGUAAGUCAUUAUAAAUAAUUAUUUUCUUUAUUAUAGAAUGGUUUUUUGCUUACCUCCCUAUUAUUUUUUUAUUAAAAGAGUAGGAGUGAAGUUCUAGUCUGCUGAAAACAAUGACAGAAUAUCCUGUUUCUUCUGUAGGAUCGGAAUUAAAUAUGCAAAAAAUCUUCAUGGAUUAAAACAAACAAAGAAACAAUCCCCUACCAAAUUUGUAAAAGAAGACCGCAGGAAAUGAACUCACUUGAAAAACGUCUAAAACAAAACCCAGACUCAAACAUCUGGCUAUUUAAGUUUGAAGAGGCAAAGAUGCUUGAUUUGGGAAGGACUGCCAUAAAUAGUGUAUUAGGCAUAGAAACCCUCUCCAAGUUUUUACAAGGUAAGUCUUUUCACCUGGAAAGUUUAUUUGAAAGGGAAAAUAUUCACUUAAGUUUU